UUCUCCUGGUUCACUGACCUGUAACAGAUUGCUAUGGUUCUGUAUGGGUACUAUUACUGGCCUGGAUAACAGUCAGAAGCAUAAGCAUACAGCCAGGUGAAGCAGUUUCAGAAACAGGAAUGUUCUCUCAUUAAAGAAGCAGAAGAUAGAGGAGAAAUUGAACUCAGCCUUAUACUAGAAUCCUGUGCUGAUGGAGGCCCAGGUUGUUGGCAGAAGUCUUGACAGCUGUGAUUCUGCUUAUCCUUUGCUACUUGCUUGCAACUUUCCUUGCACUUGCAUUUGUCAGGUUGUUAAGCAAUCUUAGGCAGUAGACUAGGCUGAAAAUUAGUAGUUGAGUUUUUGCUAUCACUAGGUUCUCAGUCUGACUUUUUUCUCUGACUCAAUUCACACAGGCAUAAAAUAACAGCAAAAGAGAGGGAACAGGUUUAUGGCAGUCUGACUGCUCUCUGACAUCUGCACUACAACUGGAGAGUAAUUAAAUGAUUCAAGUGCUAAUAUGGAGGCACGUAUGUGUGUGUAAUUAAGAUAAUCCAGCAUGAAUACGAGGUCUGAUGCUAUGUUGAAUGCAAUUUUCUGUAAAUCAUUUUCUUCAUACUUUAUUUUACAGUUGCUGCUAACUUACAGAAGAUUGUAGAUGAUCCAAAGGCCUUGAAAACAUUAACUUUUAAGCUGGCCUCUGGCUGCGAUGGCACUGAGAUUCCUGAUGAAGUGAAACUGAUUGGGUUUGCUCAGUUAAGUGUCAGCUGAUGUCUGUCCCUUGACCCCAAGCCGAGUUGUGAGAUUGCGAAGAAGCCAGCUUAGAUGCAAAGGAAAAUUAAUGCACCAAACACUGAGUUCUGCUUCAUCCUCUAGCAAUUCACAAAGUCAGAACGAGCAAAGCCCACAGCUACACCGCUGCUGCUAACAUUCAAAAUGCUACUAAAUGUCUCUUAGCAGUUGAUUUGGAUUUCCCCUAAGUGAAAAGCCUGUGGAAAUGCACUCAGGUGGCUAUAUUUAUUGGUUACAAAAGGAAUUUUAUAUCUUCUUUCCUAAAGUUUUGAGUGAUACUAUUUUCCUGUACUUGUGGAUGAUAAUACUGCCUCUGUUAUGUUAUAUUUAGAAGUUAACAUAAAUACAAAAGUUGAGAAUUACUAGCUGAACUUGAAUUCUAGUUUUAAAACUGACUGUGAAUUUUAUUUUUCAUAUAUUUAUGCAUUACACACCCUAGAAAUAAGAAAACUAUUGGACUUGAUUACAUACUAUUUGCAGUUAAUCUUUCUUUAUUUAAAAAUGUUUCAGGUAUAUCUUUGACAUAUUCUGGGGCUUUUUUUCUUUUUUCUUCAAGUCAAGUAGGCAUUAGUAAGCUUUGAUUGUGUCUAAAAACCAGUCCACAAACUGAUUGUUGAAGGGUGUGGGAGGUGCCUUGAAGACAUUAAUGUUUUAAGUAUGUGCCUGAGGCUGCUAAAAUUUAGAACAAUCUCAAUUUUCUAUAAGUACCAUGUAUAUGGUACUAUAUAUAUAAUUUGAGCAAGGAGGGGUUAUAUAGUAGCAAAGGUGUUAGAGUAUUUUAAUUGUGCUUUUUUGAGGAGUCUAUAAGCUAGAACUACUUUAAACUAUUGUCGUUAAGGUAGACUGCUUAUUGUGUCCAUCUCUGAUUUGACUAAUCCUGAAUGAUAGAAAAUGGUUUCAUACAGGUGAUGAAAACUUGAACAACAGAAUUGAAGCUUUACUUGAAAUUCUGGAAAAUACCAAUGUGGAGUGAAAAUAAUAGGGCUUUCUGCAAUGAUUCAGUAAAACUCUAUGAGAAAACAUUUCUGAUCCAAGUAGUCUUAUGCUUAACCUGUGGUCUAGAUAUUAUGGAGCUAGUGAAUCUUAGGAAGAUUAUUGAAUCUGGAGACAAGUUCCUUGGACGUUACAAUUUCAACUACUUCCUAGCUAAUCCUAGAUAAACGGCAGCUCUUUAAUGUACUGAAAACAGCAAAUAUAUAUUAUUAAGAGAAGUUAUUUAUAAUGCCUUGUCAUAAUUGUUGAGGUGUUCUAGAGCCACUUGCGUAUGACUCAGUGUAAUUCCAUUCCAUCCUCUUGUUUACAUGAUUACUCCAAGAUGACUGCAAAGGAUAAAAAUAAAAGCAUAUUGCACAAA